GUCCCAUCUCAAGGCUUAAUUAUGUCGGCAAAGGUUGGUAUUUUUCCAAAUACGAUUAUAGUCUUAGCCUGUUCAAGCUGGUACGAUAAAACACCAUAAACCAGUUGGCUGGUAAACAACAUACAUUUAUUUCUUACAGGGUUGGAGGCUGGUAAACCGAAGAUCAAGACAUCAGCAGGUUCAGUGUCUGCUGCUUCCUGGUUCAUGGAUGACCACUGUAUCUCACAGGAAACAAGGGGCAAAGCAGCUCUGUAAUAACUGCUGUUAUGGCUUAUGUCUACAUGCCCUCCAAAGCCUCAUUCACUCAGGGUAGGCCUUUUGGGAGGUGACUGCAUCACAAGUACAUGAUACUUAUCAUCGGAUUACCCCACUGCCAUGCUAUGAGCUGUUUCUCCUCUGCCACACCCAACCCCCCUGGCAUGCCAGCUGGCUAUGAACUGAAACCUCUACAGACUAAACC
ensembl:lncRNA